AUGGCCAAGCCAAUGGAAAGAAUUUCCAGGGAAAUAUAUUCCCUUAUCCUGCCACUGUACAGAAGAGUAACAACCAACCAGCCAAUCAACAGAAGGGAAAAAAAAUUAACAACCAAUACUUUCAAGACCAUCUCAUUAAUAAUCACAGGACUUGCGAGUGUGUUUUCCAGUCUCAGGACUAAGCAGCGUUCUACUUCAAUUCACUGCUUGACCUGGAAACUCAAUACAAGACAGCAUCUUCGUGGCCCAACAUUAUUAUCCUUCUCUGAAGAUAUAACAGCUUAACCCAUCACAAAGUGAGUCUUUUGAUACUGGGACAAUAGGGCCCCGAAUAUUUAUUUUAGC
rnacentral:lncRNA from 1 species